CCUACGGGUGGCUGCAGUGGGGAAUAUUGCACAAUGGGCGCAAGCCUGAUGCAGCCAUGCCGCGUGUGUGAAGAAGGCCUUCGGGUUGUAAAGCACUUUCAGCGGGGAGGAAGGCGUUAAGGUUAAUAACCUUGGCGAUUGACGUUACCCGCAGAAGAAGCACCGGCUAACUCCGUGCCAGCAGCCGCGGUAAUACGGAGGGUGCAAGCGUUAAUCGGAAUUACUGGGCGUAAGGCGCACGCAGGCGGUCUGUCAAGUCGGAUGUGAAAUCCCCGGGCUCAACCUGGGAACUGCAUUCGAAACUGGCAGGCUAGAGUCUUGUAGAGGGGGGUAGAAUUCCAGGUGUAGCGGUGAAAUGCGUAGAGAUCUGGAGGAAUACCGGUGGCGAAGGCGGCCCCCUGGACAAAGACUGACGCUCAGGUGCGAAAGCGUGGGGAGCAAACAGGAUUAGAUACCCCAGUAGUU
rnacentral:rRNA from 1 species